rnacentral:ncRNA from 2 species
CUGUAGUCUGAAUUGGCCAGCAAUGGUCGUACGUAUUUUUACGUUCACUGUGAACAAAUCAGGACGCUUAGAGUAUGGCCACAUGAAUGACUCAGCGCAGUAUGAAGUCUUUGUUUUCUUCCGAAAACAAGCUCAAUGAGAGCCAUCGGGGGUAGAUCUAUCUCAUGACGAGUGGUGGAAUACUUUGACUCAUGAGAGAGAAGCUGAGGCGAAGGCGUCUACCUAGAGGGUUUCUGUCGAUCAAGGGCGAGAGUAGGAGUAUCCAACAGGAUUAGAGACCCUGGUAGUUCCUACCUUAAACGAUGCCGACAGGAGUUUGUCAUUUGUUAAUGGCAGAAUCUUUGGAGAAAUCAUAGUUCUUGGGCUCUGGGGGAACUACGACCGCAAGGCUGAAACUUGAAGGAAUUGACGGAAGGGCACACCAGGGGUGGAGCCUGUGGCUUAAUUUGAAUCAACACGGGGAAACUUACCAGGACCAGAUGUUUUUUAUGACUGACAGGCUUCGGGUCUUUCAGGAUAUUGUUUUUGGUGGUGCAUGGCCGUUGGUGGUGCGUGGGUUGACCUGUCUAGCGUUGAUUCAGCUAACGAGCGAGAUUAUCGCCAAUUAUUUACUUUGCCGAAGUCCUUCGGUUAAAGUUCUAAUUGGGACUCCCUGCGAUUUUAGCAGGUGGAAGAGGGUAGCAAUAACAGGUCCGUGAUGCCCUUUAGAUGCUCUGGGCUGCACGCGUGCUACAAUGUUAGGAUCAAUAGGACUGCGAGCCUGAGAGGGUGCGCUACUCUUAUAAUCCCUAACGUAGUUGGGAUUGACGUUUGUAAUCAGCGUCAUGAACCAGGAAUCCCUUGUAAAUGUGUGUCAACAACGCACGUUGAAUACGUCCCUGCCCUUUGUACACACCGCCCGUCGCUCCUACCGAUUGGAUGACUCGGUGAAAUCACCGGAUGCUACGAGCAGAAAG